AGCAGCCGCGGUAAUUCCAGCUCCAAUACCGUAUAUUAAAGUUGUUGCAGUUAAAAAGCUCGUAGUUGAAUUUCGGGGUCAGUAGGUUGGUCAUGCCACUGGUAUGUACUGGUCUCACUGAUUCCUCCUUCCUGAUGAGCCGUAAUGCCAUUAAUUUGGUGUUGCGAGGAAUCUGGACUGUUACUUUGAAAAAUUAGAGUGUUUAAAGCAGGCUAACGCUUGAAUACAUUAGCAUGGAAUAAUGAAAUAGGACGUUCGAUCUUAUUUUGUUGGUUUCUAAGAUUGACGUAAUGAUUAAUAGGGAUAGUUGGGGGCAUUAGUAUUCAAUUGUCAGAGGUGAAAUUCUUGGAUUUAUUGAAGACUAACUACUGCGAAAGCAUUUGCCAAGGAUGUUUUCAUUAAUCAAGAACGAAAGUUAGGGGAUCGAAGACGAUCAGAUACCGUCGUAGUCUUAACCAUAAACUAUGCCGACUAGGGAUCGGAUGAUGUUAAUUUUUAAUGACUCAUUC
rnacentral:rRNA from 1 species